UAAAUUCGGUGUUGCAGAUAAAUUGACAACAGAUCGUGGUAGACAAUUUGAGUCUAGGCUGUUCGCAGAAUUCAAUAAAUUGUUGGGGAUUAAUAGAAUUCGUACAACUUCAUAUCACCCACAAUCUAACGGCAUGAUAGAAAGGUUUCAUAGGCAGUUGAAAUCUUCAUUAAGAACUUAUUCUGAUUCUAACAGUUGGUUAGAAGCCAUACCAAUGGUAUUGUUAGGAAUUAGAAGUGCUGUUAAAAGAAAAUUUACAAUAUUCUCCUGCUGAACUCUUGUACGGAACAACAUUAACUCUACCUGGUCAAAUGUUCGAAGAAACCAAUUCUUUUAAUGGAGAUGUUAAUGAUUAUGUAACUCGUCUUAAGAGAUUUCUUACAGAUAUUCCUUCUUUUACAAGAAAAUUGCAAAAUGUUAAAAGCUUCGUUCCUUCUGAUAUAAAAUCUUGGACACAUAUAU